UGGGGAAUAUUGGACAAUGGGGGCAACCCUGAUCCAGCAAUACCGCGUGAGUGAAGAAGGCCUUCGGGUUGUAAAGCUCUUUUACCGGGGAAGAUAAUUACGGUACCCGGGGAAUAAGCUCCGGCUAACUUCGUGCCAGCAGCCGCGGUAAUACGAAGGGAGCUAGCGUUGUUCGGAAUUACUGGGCGUAAAGGGCGCGUAGGCGGUUUUGUAAGUCAGAUGUGAAAGCCCCGGGCUUAACCUGGGAACUGCAUUUGAGACUGCAAGACUAGAGAUCGAGAGAGGAAAGUGGAAUUACGAGUGUAGAAGUGUAAUUCGUAGAUAUUCGUAGGAACACCGGUGGCGAAGGCGACUUUCUGGCUCGACCCUGACGCUAAAGCGCGAAAGCGUGGGGAGCAAACA
rnacentral:rRNA from 1 species